GACGAACGCUGGCGGCGUGCUUAACACAUGCAAGUCGAACGGAAAGGCCCUGCUUUUGUGGGGUGCUCGAGUGGCGAACGGGUGAGUAACACGUGAGUAACCUGCCCUUGACUUUGGGAUAACUUCAGGAAACUGGGGCUAAUACCGGAUAGGAGCUCCUGCUGCAUGGUGGGGGUUGGAUAGUUUCGGCGGUUGGGGAUGGACUCGCGGCUUAUCAGCUUGUUGGUGGGGUAGUGGCUUACCAAGGCUUUGACGGGUAGCCGGCCUGUGAGGGUGACCGGCCACAUUGGGACUGAGAUACGGCCCAGACUCCAACGGGAGGCAGCAGUGGGGAAUAUUGCACAAUGGGCGGAAGCCUGAUGCAGCAACGCCGCGUGCGGGAUGACGGCCUUCGGGUUGUAAACCGCUUUCGCCUGUGACGAAGCGUGAGUGACGGUAAUGGGUAAAGAAGCACCGGCUAACUACGUG
rnacentral:rRNA from 1 species